rnacentral:rRNA from 1 species
GACGGAGGAUGCAAGCGUUAUCCGGAAUGAUUGGGCGUAAAGCGUCCGCAGGUGGCCGUUCAAGUCUGCUGUCAAAGCCCGGGGCUUAACUUCGGAAAGGCAGUGGAAACUGAACAGCUAGAGUAUGGUAGGGGCAGAGGGAAUUCCUGGUGUAGCGGUGAAAUGCGUAGAGAUCAGGAAGAACAUCGGUGGCGAAGGCGCUCUGCUGGACCAUAACUGACACUGAGGAGCGAAAGUGUGGGGAGCGAACAGG